AGUUGAUUAUGGCUCAGGACGAACGCUGGCGGCACGCUUAACACAUGCAAGUCGAGCGGAGUUAUUUGAGUUUACUUAGAAUAACUUAGUGGCGGACGGGUGAGUAACACGUGAGCAACCUACCUUAGAGAGAGGGAUAGCUUCUGGAAACGGAUGGUAAUACCUCAUAACGUAACUGUACCGCAUGAUAUAGUUACCAAAGAUUUAUCACUCUGAGAUGGGCUCGCGUCUGAUUAGAUAGUUGGUGAGGUAACGGCUCACCAAGUCGACGAUCAGUAGCCGGACUGAGAGGUUGAACGGCCACAUUGGGACUGAGACACGGCCCAGACUCCUACGGGAGGCAGCAGUGGGGAAUAUUGCACAAUGGGGGGAAAAACCCCUGAUGCAGCGAUGCCGCGUGGAGGAAGAAGGUUUUCGGACUGUAAACUCCUGUCUUAAAGGACGAUAAUGACGGUACUUUAGGAGGAAGCUCCGGCUAACUACGUGCCAGCCGCCGC
rnacentral:rRNA from 1 species